GUUAGGGUGGCCGAGUGGUCUAAGGCGCCUGACUUAAGACCUGGAGGCGUGGGUUCGAACCCCACUCCUGACA